rnacentral:rRNA from 1 species
CCUACGGGAGACAGCAGUGGGGAAUAUUGCGCAAUGGGCGAAAGCCUGACGCAGCGACGCCGCGUGAGGGAUGAAGGUCUUCGGAUCGUAAACCUCUGUCAGCAGGGAAGAACGGUCACUGUGCUAAUCAGCAGUGAAUUGACGGUACCUGCACAGGAAGCACCGGCUAACUCCGUGCCAGCAGCCGCGGUAAUACGGAGGGUGCGAGCGUUAAUCGGAAUUACUGGGCGUAAAGCGCUCGUAGGCGGUAUGUCAAGUCAAGGGUGAAAUCCCCGCGCUCAACGUGGGAACUGCCUUGGAAACUGGCAAAAUGGAGUGUGUGAGAGGAUAGUGGAAUGCCAGGUGUAGGAGUGAAAUCCGUAGAGAUCUGGAGGAACAUCAGUGGCGAAGGCGACUAUCUGGCACAUAACUGACGCUGAGGAGCGAAAGCGUGGGUAGCAAACAGGAUUAGAUACCCGAGUAGUC